GCCAGUGUGGUUUAGUGUUUGAACGUUGGAUGAUGACUCUGGAGAUCAGGGUUCAAUUCCCCACCUGGCC